GACAACGUUUCAAAUGGAACGCUAAUACCGACAUACGUCUCUACGAGGAGAAAGCAGGGGACCUUCGGGCCUUGCGCUAUCAGAUGAGCCUAUGUCGGAUAAGCUAUCUGCGUGGGGUAAUGGCUCACCAAGGCGACGAUCCGUAGCUGGAUCUGAUGAGGAUGAUCGCCCACACGGGAACUGAGACUCGGCCCAGACUCCUACUGGAUGCAGCAUGGGGGGAAUAUUGGACAAUGGGCGAAAGCCUGAUCCAGCNAUGCCGCGUGUGAGAAGAAGGUCUUCCGAUUGUAAACUACUUUAAGUUGGGAGGAAGGGCAGCAAACUAAUACCUUGCUGUUUUGACGUUACAGACCCAAUAAGCACCGGUUAACUCUGUGCCAGCACUCUCGGUAAUACAGACGGUGCAAGCGCUAAUCGGAAUUACUGGGCGUAAAGCGUCGCGUACGUGGUUUGUUAAGUUGGAUGUGAAAGCCCCGGGCUCAACCUGGGAACUGCAUCCACCACUGGGAACCUAUUAGUGCCGUAGAGGGCGGCGGAAUUUCCUGUGGAUCCGUGAAAUGCGUAGAUAUAGGAAGGAACACCAGAGGCGAAGGCGACCACCUGGACUGAUACUGACACUGAUGCGCCAUAGCGUGGGGAGNNAACAGGAUUAGAUCACCUGGUAGUCCACGCCGCAUACGAUGUCUACUAAUCUCUGGAAUCCUUGAGANNUUACUGGNGCAUCUAACGCAUUNUAUCGACCGCCUGNNGAAUACAGCCGCAGGUUAAACUCAAUGAUUGACGNNGUNGCAAACCNNCUNCACAUGUGUUUAUUCAAUCACAUAACACUUACCGCCUGACUGCGAUACUUCCA
rnacentral:rRNA from 1 species